GGGACCCACUAGCGGACCCCACGACGUCUAGUUCCUUAUCUUACUCGUUUUGUAUUUUUGGGUCGACGCGGGGACCACUUGUGGGAGUUUGACUAGUUUAGUUAGGUUUAAUACCUUUCUUUGGGCAGUUGAUAGGCGUGUAAUAGUAAUAGUGAUAAGUGUUCGGACCCACCUUAGGGUCCACCUUAUGGUCAUAGUUGUAGUGAUGGCAUGAAACAGUAGUUCGGACUUCUACUUUUGAAUUGUAUAUAGAACAUUUUUGCUGAUGUAUGUGAUGUACAUAGUGAACUUUUGAGCAUGUAUAUAAUGUGUAUAGUAACCGUUUGGGUGUGAA